rnacentral:rRNA from 1 species
GACGAACGCUGGCGGCGUGCUUAACACAUGCAAGUCGAACGGAAAGGCCCUGCUUUUGUGGGGUGCUCGAGUGGCGAACGGGUGAGUAACACGUGAGUAACCUGCCCUUGACUUUGGGAUAACUUCAGGAAACUGGGGCUAAUACCGGAUAGGAGCUCCUGCUGCAUGGUGGGGGUUGGAAAGUUUCGGCGGUUGGGGAUGGACUCGCGGGUUAUCAGCUUGUUGGUGGGGUAGUGGCUUACCAAGGCUUUGACGGGUAGCCGGCCUGAGAGGGUGACCGGCCACAUUGGGACUGAGAUACGGCCCAGACUCCUACGGGAGGCAGCAGUGGGGAAUAUGGCACAAUGGGCGGAAGCCUGAUGCAGCAACGCCGCGUGCGUGAUGACGGCCUUCGGGUUGUAAACCGCUUUCGCCUGUGACGAAGCGUGAGUGACGGUAAUGGGUAAAGAAGCACCGGCUAACUACGUG